UGACAGCACCGGGACAGACAGACAGACCCCGACAGACCCCGACAGUGCAGGAACCGGAGCGGGCAGAGCCACUGCCGGGGUGUGACAGCACCGGGACAGACUGACACCGCCACUGCCACCGCCGCCCCUCUGUCACCAGGAUGCUCUCGAUGGCCCAGCCGAGCCCGGAGCGGGUGCCCAGCCCCGCGGAGCAGGAGUGGGCAGGGCCCGAGGCGCU